UACAGAGGUCUCAACCGUUGUUCGGAUUCAUUGGGCGUAAAGGGUGCGUAGGCGGUCUGCUAAGUUUGGUGUGAAAUCCCGGGGCUCAACCCUGGAAUGGCAUUGAAUACUGGCGGACUAGAGUACCGGAGAGGAAACUGGAAUUUACGGUGUAGCAGUGAAAUGCGUAGAGAUGUGGAGGAACACCAGUGGCGAAGGCGGCUUUCUGGUCUGUAACUGACGCUGAGGCGCGAAAGCGUGGGGAGCAAACAGG
rnacentral:rRNA from 1 species